rnacentral:rRNA from 1 species
GACGAACGCUGGCGGCGUGCUUAACACAUGCAAGUCGAACGAGAAUCUACUGAAAGAGUUUUCGGACACUGGAAGUAGAGGAAAGUGGCGGACGGGUGAGUAACGCGUGAGGAACCUGCCUUGAAGAGGGGGACAACAGUUGGAAACGACUGCUAAUACCGCAUGAAGCAUAGGGGUCGCAUGAUUCUUAUGCCAAAGAUUUAUCGCUUCAAGAUGGCCUCGCGUCUGAUUAGCUGGUUGGCGGGGUAACGGCCCACCAAGGCGACGAUCAGUAGCCGGACUGAGAGGUGGAACGGCCACAUUGGGACUGAGAUACGGCCCAGACUCCUACGGGAGGCAGCAGUGGGGAAUAUUGGGCAAUGGGCGCAAGCCUGACCCAGCAACGCCGCGUGAAGGAAGAAGGCUUUCGGGUUGUAAACUUCUUUUAAGAGGGAAGAGCAGAAGACGGUACCUCUAGAAUAAGCCACGGCUAACUACGUG